GACAGAGGUCCCGAGCGUUGUUCGGAUUCAUUGGGCGUAAAGGGUGUGUAGGAGGUUGGGUAAGUCAGGUGUGAAAUCUCGGAGCUUAACUCUGAAACUGCGCUUGAUACUGCUCAGCUAGAGGAUCGGAGGGGGUAACGGAAUUCAUGGUGUAGCAGUGAAAUGCGUAGAUAUCAUGAGGAACACCGGUGGCGAAGGCGGUUACCUGGAAGAUUCCUGACUCUGAAACACGAAAGCCAGGGGAG
rnacentral:rRNA from 1 species